UGCUUCUACACCUGCAUUGCUUGCUGUUUGGGGUUUUAGGCUGGGUUUCUGUAUAGCACUUUGUGACAUCGGCUGAUGUAAAAAGGGCUUUAUAAAUACAUUUGAUUGAUUGAUUGACCUGGCUGCAAUCUACUGUGUUCAAGACAGUUGGGUUUAUUACAUUCAAAUUCUGAAAAUAAAACUCUAUAUGUUAUACUUUUUUUUUUAAACUCCAAUACUGUAAUAAAGAAGUAAUUAACUAUAAUUUUCUUCUGAUAUGAAGUCAACAGUUACUCCAUCUCAGCAUCGUAAAACAAAAGAAAGAUAUCAAUGUGAUUGUGAAAGCAACAAGCACUUUCAACUUUCUUAAACCAAGUCAUACAGGCUACUGGUAUGUGGUUGUGUCAUGGCUUUCUGGCCAAAUAUUAUACGUGUUAACACAAAUCAAACAUAUUCACCAUGUGAAAACAACUGGAACAACCAUUCAAACAACGUAUUUCAAAACCUCCACUAUCUAGUCAAAAGAACAGACUGCGUAAAACCGUAAACCACUGUAGACUGAGGAUCAAAUUUAUCCCGCUGGUUAUCUUGCAAGGAUAGUUGUUGUUUCACCGAGGUCCGAAACAGUUGUCAGCCAGUGAGACAUGUGAGUGUAGUAUAUAACUUGCCUUGGACACCGGUGUGAUGGACAUGUUGCUUGGCGAGCGUUGGAGCUGCGUCUCGGUCUCCAUCUCGCUGUUCUCCGUCAUCAUCGGUCUCUUCACGGGAUGAAAUGAGACAGUCGGCUGUAUGUGGUCUGGGUUCCAGAAUAACCCGACUGUUACUGCUGAAUUCAUUCAAAUGUGAGUUAGUCAAAAGUACUGCCCAGUGUAGCCGUUGAGAUUGGCUAAAUAAAGCGUACCACCUCACCACGUUUUAACGAUUCACGCGCGCGGGGAAUAGGCAGGCUGUUGAGGAUCAUGCGCCAAGAGAUGCACCGGGUUACAUCCAAUUAAUACACAUCACAGGUCUAAAGGAAUUUCAGUUCAGAGCUGCAGAAAGGGUGUAGUCUGUGGCGGUAUUCGAAAGAUUGGACCUUAGUUACGCAUCAGCAAAGAACGGUCCUAUUCCGCCCUGCGAGCAUCUUCCAUUUAGAAGAUCCAGCAAAUGUUGCACUCCCCUUCAUUUUCUCCCUGGCCUAUAAGAACACAGCGGGCACAGUCACAGCCACAGCCCUAUCUGUAAGGCUGCCUUAUGAAGGUGAGCUCCUAAUCUCCUAUACAGAUGUGCCUCUGAUGCCUAACAAGCAGGCAGUAGCCAUUCAUCAUGGGCCAUGUGAUACUGACAGGGGGAUGGUCAUAAGGGGGGCUACGGGUGGUGGCUGUGGUUACAAACAAUUUCCUUAGUCUUUCAACCCAUCACAUUCAUCUGUUGUUUUCC
rnacentral:lncRNA from 13 species